CCUACGGGUGGCAGCAGUGAGGAAUAUUGGUCAAUGGACGAGAGUCUGAACCAGCCAAGUAGCGUGAAGGAUGACUGCCCUAUGGGUUGUAAACUUCUUUUAUAAAGGAAUAAAACGAGGCACGUGUGCCUUUUUGCAUGUACUUUAUGAAUAAGGAUCGGCUAACUCCGUGCAAGCAGCCGUGGUAAUACGGAGGAUCCGAUCGUUAUCAGGAUUUAUUGGGUUUAAAGGGAGCGUAGAUGGGUUGUUACGUCAGUUGUGAAAGUUUGCGGCUCAACCGUAAAAUUGCAAUUGAUACUGGCAUGCUGGAGUACAGUUGAGGUAGGCGGAAUUCGUGGUGUAGCGGUGAAAUGCUUAGAUAUCACGAAGAACCCCGAUUGCGAAGGCAGCUUACUAAACUGUGACUGACAUUGAUGCUCGAAAGUGUGGGUAUCAAACAGGAUUAGAUACCCCAGUAGUC
rnacentral:rRNA from 1 species